GCCUUCGUGGUGUAAUGGUCAACAUACUCGGCGUGUAUUCCAGAAGUCCGUGGUGCGAGUCCCGGCGAGGGCA
rnacentral:tRNA from 1 species